rnacentral:rRNA from 1 species
UACGUAGGGUGCGAGCGUUGUCCGGAAUUAUUGGGCGUAAAGAGCUCGUAGGCGGCCUGUUGCGUCCGCUGUGAAAGCCCGGGGCUUAACCCCGGGUCGGCAGUGGAUACGGGCAGGCUAGAGGUAGGUAGGGGAGACUGGAAUUCCUGGUGUAGCGGUGAAAUGCGCAGAUAUCAGGAGGAACACCGAUGGCGAAGGCAGGUCUCUGGGCAUUAACUGACGCUGAGGAGCGAAAGCAUGGGGAGCGAACAGG